UACGUAGGGUGCAAGCGUUAAUCGGAAUUACUGGGCGUAAAGCGUGCGCAGGCGGCUAUGCAAGACAGAUGUGAAAUCCCCGGGCUCAACCUGGGAACUGCAUUUGUGACUGCAUGGCUAGAGUACGGCAGAGGGGGAUGGAAUUCCGCGUGUAGCAGUGAAAUGCGUAGAUAUGCGGAGGAACACCGAUGGCGAAGGCAGUCCCCUGGGCCUGUACUGACGCUCAUGCACGAAAGCGUGGGGAGCAAACAGG
rnacentral:rRNA from 1 species